UACGUAGGCGACAAGCGUUGUCCGGAUUUACUGGGCGUAAAGAGCGCGCAGGCGGUCGAUCAAGUCGAGUGUGAAAGCCCCCGGCUCAACUGGGGAGGGUCAUUCGAUACUGAUCGACUCGAAGGCAGGAGAGGGUAGUGGAAUUCCUGGUGUAGCGGUGAAAUGCGCAGAUAUCAGGAGGAACACCGGUGGCGAAGGCGGGUCUCUGGGCCGAUACUGACGCUGAGGAGCGAAAGCGUGGGGAGCGAACAGG
rnacentral:rRNA from 1 species